CCUACGGGAGGCAGCAGUGGGGAAUCUUGCGCAAUGGGCGAAAGCCUGACGCAGCGACGCCGCGUGAGUGAUGAAGGUCUUCGGAUCGUAAACCUCUGUCAGCAGGGAAGAACGGUCACUGUGCUAAUCAGCCGUGAAUUGACGGUACCUGCAAAGGAAGCACCGGCUAACUCCGUGCCAGCAGCCGCGGUAAUACGGAGGGUGCGAGCGUUAUUCGGAAUUACUGGGCGUAAAGCGCUCGUAGGCGGUAUGUCAAGUCAAGGGUGAAAUCCCCGCGCUCAACGUGGGAACUGCCGUUGAAACUGGGAAACUGGAGGGUGUGAGAGGAGAGUGGAAGUCCAGGUGGAGGAGUGAAAUCCGUAGAUAUCUGGAGGAACAUCAGUGGCGAAGGCGACUAUCUGGCACAUAACUGACGCUGAGGAGCGAAAGCGUGGGUAGCAAACAGGAUUAGAUACCCUAGUAGUC
rnacentral:rRNA from 1 species